rnacentral:sRNA from 1 species
GCUGACCCUCGACGCUCCCUCCAGGCGUCUGCUGAGCAGCGUCUCUUUCUCUUUAUAGGCAGACACUCGGUCGUUCGUAGUGGAUAGGGGUCAUGACCGGUUUCUCCUAGACGGGGCCCCGUUCCGCUAUGUGUCUGGCAGCCUGCACUACUUUCGGGUACCGCGGGUGCUUUGGGGCGACCGGCUUUUGAAGAUGCGAUGGAGCGGCCUCAACGCCAUACAGUUUUAUGUGCCCUGGAACUACCACGAGCCACAGCCUGGGGUCUAUAACUUUAAUGGCAGCCGGGACCUCAUUGCCUUUCUGAAUGAGGCAGCUCUAGCGAACCUGUUGGUCAUACUGAGACCAGGACCUUACAUCUGUGCAGAGUGGGAGAUGGGGGGUCUCCCAUCCUGGUUGCUUCGAAAACCUGAAAUUCAUCUAAGAACCUCAGAUCCAGACUUCCUUGCCGCAGUGGACUCCUGGUUCAAGGUCUUGCUGCCCAAGAUACAUCCAUGGCUUUACCACAAUGGGGGCAACAUCAUUAGCAUUCAGGUACAAGGGGGAAGUGACUGGAGCAGGGGAAGAAGGU